rnacentral:tRNA from 1 species
GGGCGGAUGGCGGAAUUGGUAUACGCGCUAGUCUUAGGAACUAGUGGGGCAACCCAUGGAGGUUCAAGUCCUCUUCCGCCCA